CGAACGCUGGCGGCGUGCUUAACACAUGCAAGUCGAACGCGAAAGGGGCUUCGGUCCUGAGUAAAGUGGCGCACGGGUGAGUAACGCGUAGAUAACCUGUCUUCAUGUCUGGAAUAAUACGCCGAAAGGGGUACUAAUACCGGAUAUUCUUGCUUUUCAUAAGUUAUGCAAGCAAAGGUGGCCUCUGCAUAUGCUACUGCAUGAAGAGGGGUCUGCGUACCAUUAGCUAGUAGGUGGGGUAAUGGCCUACCUAGGCGACGAUGGUUAGCGGGUCUGAGAGGAUGAUCCGCCACACUGGCACUGGAACACGGGCCAGACUCCUACGGGAGGCAGCAGUGAGGAAUAUUGCGCAAUGGGGGAAACCCUGACGCAGCGACGCCGCGUGAGUGAGGAAGGCCUUCGGGUCGUAAAGCUCUGUCAAGAGGAAAGAAGUGUACAAUGGCUAAUACCUGUUGUAUUUGACGGUACCUCUAAAGGAAGCACCGGCUAACUCCGUGCCAGCCGCCGC
rnacentral:rRNA from 1 species